UACGAAGGGGGCUAGCGUUGCUCGGAAUCACUGGGCGUAAAGGGCGCGUAGGCGGCCAUCUAAGUCAGACGUGAAAUCCCCCGGCUUAACCUGGGAACUGCGUCUGAUACUGGACGGCUUGAGUAUGGGAGAGGGAUGUAGAAUUCCAGGUGUAGCGGUGAAAUGCGUAGAUAUCUGGAGGAAUACCGGUGGCGAAGGCGGCAUCCUGGACCAUUACUGACGCUGAGGCGCGAAAGCUAGGGGAGCAAACGGG
rnacentral:rRNA from 1 species